UUCACUGAGAGUCACUGCACCUGUGUUUCAGAACUGGUUACUCACAGUCCAACUGGCUAUUUGUCAACGCUGUCAUGUCUGCAGUUCGUGCAGCAAUCAGCAGGAGAGAAGCAGAAGUGAACCUGCUAGACUCAAAACAACAAUAACUCAGAGCAAAGGAUUUGUGUUUGGUGAGUUCCUGCCUCCAUCUUGAGACGAAAGAAAUCUUUGAACAACAAACUUACCUACCUGGAAUGAAGGGCUGACAGCAAGCAGACUGGUGUGGACAAAGGUGGCUGGAUGAAAUUUUGUAUGGCAUGGAAAGAAGACAUCGUGUUCUAACCGGUGUCCUGCUUUAUGUUGAAGUAUUGGCCUACACUGCUCCUCAUACCUAACGCCAUCUGAUUCCAGAGGAUGUCUUGACCAUCAAAUCUGGAGUGUCCC